UUUCUUAAUGUACCAAAAAUGAGGCAAUUUUUUUCCAAGUUGUGUCUCCACCCUUUCCAAAGGCAUGCUCAUGACACCCACUGAGGCUGUCAUGCUCUGCAGCCCUCUGACAUGGGAACACUGGUUUUACUCAAGUGUACUUUUAACCACAUAUGCAAAAGUAGCACCCACUUUGACUUUUUAUACUCACCCCAAGAUUUGUCCACAAACUGAACUGCAGCUUUUUUAACUGGGUCUUUCUUGUUUGCAAGGGAAAAAAAUUCAUUUGCUGAAAUGGAAACGAGUGUUAAUCACCAAGUUUAAGCCAGACAAGACUAGAUGCAGACCUGCCUAACCAAAACUGCUUACCCUGUACCCGGUUGGCGUGUGGCCCAUAGAGCUGAGCAUUUAGAAAGUCUUUGGCGAGCUGUUGGUGGAGGCCUGUUAAACUCUGAUCUUUUAAGCACACAGCUGCGUAGUUUCCUUUUGACCUAGUUAAAAAGACAGAUGUAAAUCCCUUUACCAUGGUUACAGAACCCAGAACAACACACACAUUAGUGUCAAGCUUUGCUACUUGAGCACAACUGCAGCAGUUGCUGGUUUCUGAUGCUCAGAUGAGCUUGGUGGCAGUAUUAAAAAAAAAUUAAAAAUGGGACCAAAACUC